rnacentral:rRNA from 1 species
UACGAAGGGGGCUAGCGUUGCUCGGAAUCACUGGGCGUAAAGCGCACGUAGGCGGAUUGUUAAGUCAGGGGUGAAAUCCUGGAGCUCAACUCCAGAACUGCCUUUGAUACUGGCGAUCUUGAGUCCGGGAGAGGUGAGUGGAACUGCGAGUGUAGAGGUGAAAUUAGUAGAUAUUCGCAAGAACACCAGUGGCGAAGGCGGCUCACUGGCCCGGUACUGACGCUGAGGUGCGAAAGCGUGGGGAGCAAACAGG